rnacentral:rRNA from 1 species
AUUGAACGCUGGCGGCAUGCUUUACACAUGCAAGUCGAACGGUAACAGGGUGCUUGCACCGCUGACGAGUGGCGAACGGGUGAGUAAUGCGUCGGAACGUGCCGAGUAGUGGGGGAUAACGCAGCGAAAGUUGUGCUAAUACCGCAUACGUACUGAGGUAGAAAGUGGGGGACCUUCGGGCCUCACGCUAUUCGAGCGGCCGACGUCUGAUUAGCUAGUAGGUGAGGUAAAGGCUCACCUAGGCGACGAUCAGUAGCGGGUCUGAGAGGAUGAUCCGCCACACUGGGACUGAGACACGGCCCAGACUCCUACGGGAGGCAGCAGUGGGGAAUUUUGGACAAUGGGCGAAAGCCUGAUCCAGCCAUGCUGCGUGUCUGAAGAAGGCCUUCGGGUUGUAAAGGACUUUUGUCAGGGAGGAAAUCCCUAGUGCUAAUAACACUGGGGGAAGACAGUACCUGAAGAAUAAGCACCGGCUAACUACGUGCCAGCCGCCGCAGUAA